rnacentral:tRNA from 10 species
GGCCCGUUGGUCAAGCGGUUAAGACACCGCCCUUUCACGGCGGUAUCAGGGGUUCGAAUCCCCUACGGGUCACCA